rnacentral:rRNA from 1 species
ACGGGAGGCAGCAGUGGGGAAUAUUGGACAAUGGGGGAAACCCUGAUCCAGCGACGCCGCGUGAGUGAAGAAGUAUUUCGGUAUGUAAAGCUCUAUCAGCAAGGAAGAAAAUGACGGUACUUGACUAAGAAGCUCCGGCUAAAUACGUGCCAGCAGCCGCGGUAAUACGUAUGGAGCAAGCGGUAUCCGGAUUUACUGGGUGUAAAGGGAGCGUAGACGGCAAAGCAAGUCUGAAGUGAAAUGCCGGGGCUUAACCCCGGAACUGCUUUGGAAACUGUUUAGCUAGAGUGCAGGAGAGGUAAGCGGAAUUCCUAGUGUAGCGGUGAAAUGCGUAGAUAUUAGGAGGAACACCAGUGGCGAAGGCGGCUUGCUGGACUGUAACUGACGUUGAGGCUCGAAAGCGUGGGGAGCAAACAGGAUUAGAUACCCUGGUA